rnacentral:rRNA from 1 species
GACGAACGCUGGCGGCGUGCUUAACACAUGCAAGUCGAACGGAAAGGCCCUGCUUGCAGGGUACUCGCGUGGCGAACGGGUGAGUAACACGUGGGUGAUCUGCCCUGCACUUCGGGAUAAGCCUGGGAAACUGGGUCUAAUACCGGAUAGGAGCCAUUUUUAGUGUGAUGGUUGGAAAGUUUUUUUGGUGUAGGAUGAGCUCGCGGCCUAUCAGCUUGUUGGUGGGGGAAUGGCCUACCAAGGCGGCGACGGGUAGCCGGCCGGAGAGGGUGGACGGCCACCUUGGGACGUGGAUACGGCCCAGACUCCUACGGGAGGCAGCAGGGGGGAAUAUUGCACAAUGGGCGCAAGCCUGAUGCAGCGACGCCGCGUGGGGGAUGACGGCCUUCGGGUUGUAAACUCCUUUCGCUAGGGACGAAGCUUUUUGUGACGGUACCUAGAUAAGAAGCACCGGCUAACUACGUG